AAAAGUUAGUGGCGCACGGGUGAGUAAUGUAUAGCUAAUCUGCCCCUUGGAAGAGGACAACAGUUGGAAACGACUGCUAAUACUCUAUACUCCAUUUGUCUCAAGAUAAAUGGGAAAUGUUUUCGCCAAGGGAUGAGGCUGUAUCGUAUCAGCUAGUUGGUGGGGUAAUGGCUCACCAAGGCUAUGACGCGUAGCUGGUCUGAGAGGAUGAUCAGCCACACUGGAACUGAGACACGGUCCAG
rnacentral:rRNA from 1 species